rnacentral:misc_RNA from 1 species
AGCAGCCGCGGUAAUUCCAGCUCCAAUAGCGUAUAUUAAAGUUGUUGCAGUUAAAAAGCUCGUAGUUGAAUUUCGGGAUUGACGUGAUGGUCGUGCCUUACGGGGUAUGAACUGUUGCAGUCAAUUUCUCACCUUCUGGAGAAAUAUGAUGUCCUUAAUUGGGUGUCAUAUGGAACCAGAACUUUUACCUUGAAAAAAUUAGAGUGUUUAAAGCAGGCUUAAUUGCUCGAAUACAUUAGCAUGGAAUAAUAAAAUAGGACGGCAUGGUUCUAUUUUGUUGGUUUCUAGGAUCACCGUAAUGAUUAAUAGGGAUAGUUGGGGGCAUUAGUAUUCAAUUGUCAGAGGUGAAAUUCUUGGAUUUAUUGAAGACUAACUACUGCGAAAGCAUUUGCCAAGGAUGUUUUCAUUAAUCAAGAACGAAAGUUAGGGGAUCGAAGACGAUCAGAUACCGUCGUAGUCUUAACCAUAAACUAUGCCGACUAGGAAUCAGACGAUGUUAAUUUUUUAAUGACUCGUUUGG